UGCAGCCUAUAAAGCUGCUAAGGCUGGCGCUGGGCUUGGUGGUGUCCCAGGAGUUGGUGGCUUAGGAGUGUCUGCAGGUGCGGUGGUUCCUCAGCCUGGAGCCGGAGUGAAGCCUGGGAAAGUGCCGGGUGUGGGGCUGCCAGGUGUAUACCCAGGUGGCGUGCUCCCAGGAGCUCGGUUCCCCGGUGUGGGGGUGCUCCCUGGAGUUCCCACUGGAGCAGGAGUUAAGCCCAAGGCUCCAGGUAUGCAGCUGUCUGGACAGAGGGCUGAUGGCAGGGACUCUCCAACCACCUUCUGGCCCCGGGUGUGAAAUGGGGUGGGAUCCUGGACUGGCU
rnacentral:lncRNA from 1 species